rnacentral:rRNA from 1 species
UCCGCCAGGGUACUACAAGCGCUAGCUUAAAACCCAAAGGACUUGACGGUGUCUCAGACCCACCUAGAGGAGCCUGUUCUAGAACCGAUAAUCCACGUUUAACCUCACCACCCCUUGUCUUCUCAGCCUAUAUACCGCCGUCGCAAGCUUACCCUAUGAAGGGUUAACAGUAAGCAAAAUGGGUAAAACCCAAAACGUCAGGUCGAGGUGUAGCCUACGGGAUGGAAAGAAAUGGGCUACAUUUUCUAUAUUAGAAUAUACGAACGGCGCCAUGAAACUGGCCCCCGAAGGUGGAUUUAGUAGUAAAAAAG